UACAGAGGUCUCAAGCGUUUGUUCGGAUUCAUUGGGCGUAAAGGGUGUGUAGGUGGCGCCGUAAGUCGGGUGUGAAAUUUCGGAGCUUAACUCCGAAACUGCAUUCGAUACUGCGGUGCUUGAGGACUGGAGAGGAGACUGGAAUUUACGGUGUAGCGGUGAAAUGCGUAGAUAUCUGGAGGAAUACCGGUGGCGAAGGCGGCAUCCUGGACCAUAACUGACGCUGAGGCGCGAAAGCUAGGGGAGCAAACGGG
rnacentral:rRNA from 1 species